UAGUAUGGUAAAGCGAAAUCUGUAGUAUCGGUCUACAUAGCAGUAGUUUAUGGUCAUAGUGGUGUGGAACAGAGUGCAUUGCGUCGAAGGCCCCGUAGUCCAUUUAUUUCGUGCUACUGUACAUACAGACGUAAGUACCCAGCUAAAUCUGCUAAUAGCAAGAUUUCGGCAAGUUUGAUGCAGAAUCUACAAAUCUUUUCAAUAAAAGGUAUCGUUCUUACGUUACAACUUCGUCGACAAUCGCUUGUUGAAAAGGACGCCAUCGGCUGAUUAAUCAACGACGCCUGGCUGAAAGGGCUACACACGUGGUG